UCACUUCAUCUAUGAAAUUGAAUCGUUCUUCUAAGCAUUUCAUUCAUCAAGCUUGUUUUUGUUGAGCGGAUUGAAGCUUCAGGGUCAACGAUCGGCCAGCUCGGUCUUCCCAAGGGAAGAAUUCGAGAGCAAACGAUGAACCCAUCAACAAAAUGAAUCGAAUUCUUCAACAAAAUCAAUAGCCCUUUCAAUGGCGUCAUUAGCAGCGCAUCUCUCCGCCGCCCUCUUCCUCGUUCCCAUAGGCGUUCGUCGGCUACUCUGUUCUUCCUCUGUUUACAUCAACAACCCAUCGCUUUACCGAUCAAGAACAUGGUACUUAUCCGAACCCAAAUGGAAAAAUUUCGAUUUAUAUUCUCUGAUCCUCCUCCUCCCCAUUGCCGCCUUCUCUGAAAUCUUCCUUUUCCUUGCAUUUUCCGGGAACCCCACUUACAAAUUUGCAUUUUCCCACCAAUCAAUGGCCAUUUUCUUCUUCUGGGCCCUCACGAUUCUCAUUAUUUUGCGGGAAAAUCUCGACCCUCUUCUUGUAAGUGAGAGUUUCAUCUUCGUUUUCGCUGGAAUCGCUUUUCUCAUUGAGUAUUCAGUGAUUGGCAAUGGUAUUACUGGUCUUGGUGGCGCUUUUUAUCACUUAUCUAGCGGAUUAGCCCUUCUUUGUGCUUGUUGUUGCCUGUAUUUAUCUGUGAAACCCUCUGCAUUUUUCGCUGAAUUUCUACUUUCUUCUGGCUUAACGUUUAAGGGUACAUGGAUGUUCCAAAUUGGGUUGUCUUUGUAUACCGAUGCGUUUGCUUUGAAGGGUUGUCGUGCAAUGUUGGUAUUGCCUGCUACACAAGAUGCUUUUGUUCAAUGUGAUCUUGAGGAGGAUCAGAUGAGGGGUAUUGCUUUGAUGAACUUAAUAUUCAUUGGCCAUGCUUUUUUGGUUUUGAUCUUGGGUUUUGGCUUGAUUGGUUUGUUGUCUUGCAACAAGCUUUUUAGGUGCCGCGAGGGGAGCGGCCCUUUGUUGGCUGAGUUUGGACAAGAAACCAUGUUGAGUUCAUCGUCUCCUGAGAUUGAAAUGGAGUGAAAUUAGAAAUGAAGUAGAUUAGUUUGCCUGCUGUUUAGUGUGAAGAAAGUCUUCAUCAAAGACACUUUAGUUUAAAACGUGUAGGCCUACCGAGCGGGUACUUUCAAAUCUGAAAGCACGAAUCCUCGGUGAAGAAUAUAAUCCCUCUCUUAUUUCUUUUUUGUAUCCCCCUGUUCCAAUCUCCUUCUCGAGUCUUGGGAAAUUGAAGCGACCCCACCUUUUCUACCGAGAUUGAGAAGUAGUGAUAAGGGUUCGAGUCUGCUUAUCUCCACUUCAACUGCAGCAACUUCAAAGAGCCUCGUUGACAAACAAAAUCUCAGAAUCUCCACGGUUCCAGCUACGUGAGUUCAGACAACCAAUCCGAGAGGCUCGAAUGCACCGGGUUUUCUUGCUUUUGAGUAUCAGGUAAGCUCGAAC